rnacentral:misc_RNA from 1 species
AAGUCGUAACAAGGUUUCCGUAGGUGAACCUGCGGAAGGAUCAUUAUCGUAUGAUGGAGGUGCUGGGGUUGUCGCUGACUUUUGAAAGGGUCGUGCACGCCUCGGUGCUCUCGCACAUAUAAUCCAUCUCACCCCUUUUGUGCAUCACCGCGUGGGGACCCCUUUUGGCUAGUUCCGAGGGGGGUUUUCACGUUUUUACAAAGACACCCUUUUAAUGCAAUGUGUAGAAUGUCUUACUUUUUUGCGAUCAUACGCAAUCAAUACAACUUUCAACAACGGAUCUCUUGGCUCUC